GACGAACGCUGGCGGCGUGCUUAACACAUGCAAGUCGAACGGAAAGGCCCUGCUUUUGUGGGGUGCUCGAGUGGCGAACGGGUGAGUAACACGUGAGUAACCUGCCCUUGACUUUGGGAUAACUUCAGGAAACUGGGGCUAAUACCGGAUAGGAGCUCCUGCUGCAUGGUGGGGGUUGGAAAGUUUCGGCGGUUGGGGAUGGACUCGCGGCUUAUCAGCUUGUUGGUGGGGUAGUGGCUUACCAAGGCUUUGACGGGUAGCCGGCCUGAGAGGGUGACCGGCCACAUUGGGACUGAGAGACGGCCCAGACUCCGACGGGGGGCAGCAGUGGGGAAUAUUGCACAAUGGGCGGAAGCCUGAUGCAGCAACGCCGCGUGCGGGAUGACGGCCUUCGGGUUGUAAACCGCUUUCGCCUGUGACGAAGCGUGAGUGACGGUAAUGGGUAAAGAAGCACCGGCUAACUACGUG
rnacentral:rRNA from 1 species